rnacentral:rRNA from 1 species
ACCAGACUCCUACGGGAGGCAGCAGUGGGGAAUAUUGGGCAAUGGGCGCAAGCCUGACCCAGCAACGCCGCGUGAAGGAAGAAGGCUUUCGGGUUGUAAACUUCUUUUCUCAGGGACGAAGCAAGUGACGGUACCUGAGGAAUAAGCCACGGCUAACUACGUGCCAGCAGCCGCGGUAAUACGUAGGUGGCAAGCGUUAUCCGGAUUUACUGGGUGUAAAGGGCGUGUAGGCGGGACUGCAAGUCAGAUGUGUAAACCAUGGGCUCAACCUAAGGCCUGCAUUUGAAACUGUAGUUCUUGAGUGCUGGAGAGGCAGACGGAAUUCCUAGUGUAGCGGUGAAAUGCGUAGAUAUUAGGAGGAACACCAGUGGCGAAGGCGGUCUGCUGGACAGCAACUGACGCUGAGGCGCGAAAGCGUGGGGAGCAAACAGGAUUAGAUGCCCGAGUACU